CUUGAUGUGCCCACAGACACUGCCAAGGACCAGGGACUCGUGAGAAUCCGGAGAUCAAUAUCUUCGCAAAUUCAAGAACUAAGCGAUCGCUUCCAGUAUAUACCACGAAGCGUUAUUAUCGGCACUCCGUUCUUGAUGCUGUUCCUGGCCCUGCUUUGCUGCUAUAGCAUCUGCCUAGAUCCUCCAGAGACCUGAGGAACCAUCCACCUACUGAAUGAUCCCCCGGAUAUGACCUCGGCUGAGUUUUAUUGACUAUGAUUCCCACCCGACCAUGAUUGGGCUUCAUUCUGACUGAUCUCACGGUGACGACCCCUGGCUAUGUUCCUGAAUUCUUUUAAUAAAGAAUUUUUUAA